UACGUAGGUGGCAAGCGUUGUCCGGAUUUACUGGGUGUAAAGGGCGUGUAGCCGGGCUGACAAGUCAGAUGUGAAAUCCGGGGGCUCAACCCCCGAACUGCAUUUGAAACUGUUGGUCUUGAGUAUCGGAGAGGCAGGCGGAAUUCCUAGUGUAGCGGUGAAAUGCGUAGAUAUUAGGAGGAACGCCAGUGGCGAAGGCGGCCUGCUGGACGACAACUGACGGUGAGGCGCGAAAGCGUGGGGAGCAAACAGG
rnacentral:rRNA from 1 species